rnacentral:rRNA from 1 species
UUUCAUAAUAAAAGAUUUUUAAAAAAAUGGUAUGCCCGAUCUCAUCUGAUCUCGGAAGCUAAGCAGGGUCGGGCCUGGUUAGUACUUGGAUGGGAGACCGCCUGGGAAUACCAGGUGCUGUAAGCA